rnacentral:rRNA from 1 species
UACAGAGGGGGCGAGCGUUGUUCGGAUUUAUUGGGUGUAAAGGGUGCGUAGGUGGUCUUGUAAGUCGGAUGUGUAAUCCCUUGGCUUAACCAAGGACUUGCAUCCGAAACUGCUUGGCUUGAGGGUGGGGGAAGAGACUGGAAUUCUCGGUGUAGCGGUGAAAUGCGUAGAUAUCGAGAAGAACACCAGUGGCGAAGGCGGGUCUCUACUCCACAUCUGACACUGAGGCACGAAAGCUAGGGUAGCAAACGGG